rnacentral:lncRNA from 1 species
UUAGCUUAUCAUUUUUCCUCUCUUUCCAGGGCCUGCAUGCCAUUAAUUUAGGAGACAGUGGAUUUAUGGUGGUUAGAGAUGGAUGUACUGUUUUCAGAUCCCCUGUGCAGCAGCAUGAUUUCAAUUUCACAUAUCAACUAGAGAGUGGUAAUUCUGGUGACUUACCAAGCUCUGGAGAGGUCAGUAGUUCAGCAUGACUUCAAUUUCACAUAUCAACUAGAGAGUGGUAAUUCUGGUGACUUACCGAGCUCUGGAGAGGUCAGUAGUUCCCCCCUUUUUUUCUUAAUGUAGAACUUGUGUGGUAAUGUAGAACUUGGUUUAGAGCUUCCGUUUUUUCAAAAUCUGGACAACAUUUUUCAUACUCAAAUAAAAGAUAUUUCAGAAGCUUUUUUUAUUGUGUUGUUCUUUGUCGACUCUUCUAUGUCAUUCAGAGAGCAAAGAGUUGGGGUUCAGGUGGUGUUUUUAGAUUGUUCCCUUACUGUUUUGUACAAUAAUAUUUUUUGUUAAACAUACUA